rnacentral:rRNA from 1 species
CGUGCCUAACACAUGCAAGUCAAGGAAAAGAGUCUUUCGGGACUCUGAAACUGGCGCACGGGUGAGUAACGCGUAGGUUAUCUGCCCUUUACCGGGACAUAACGUCGGGAAACCGGCGCUAAUAUCCCAUGAGGUACUUCGGUAUCAAAGCUUCGGCGGUAGAGGAUGAGCCUGCGUCUGAUUAGCUAGUUGGUGAGGUAAUGGCUCACCAAGGCGACGAUCAGUAGCUGGUCUGAGAGGACGAUCAGCCACACUGGAACUGAGACACGGUCCAGACUCCUACGGGAGGCAGCAGUGAGGAAUAUUGGUCAAUGGGGGAAACCCUGAACCAGCGACGCCGCGUGUGGGACGAAGGGGCUCUGCCCUGUAAACCACUGUUGAGAGGGAAGAAAAGCUUUUGAAAAGC